UGGUUUGUGAUACGUCAUUGAUUCAUCGUUGACACAAAUAUGAAAGCACACUAGAAAGAUAAACAUAGGAGAUCAUAGCUGAAGGGUGGGUUUCCAACGACGGUGGUGUGCUGCCUUUCUUCCAGUGCCGACAAGAUGGCUAGUUUGUCGCCCCGUAACCCUGGUGGUGGGCUCCCAUGACUGCCUCCUGGGUUACCUACCACUUAGCAUUAAUCCAUCAAGGGGCAUGGGCAAUUUCCUUGUUCUAUUUCUUACUGAAUCCGGUUCCAUCAAAGAUGCCGACAACUUUGCAGCCGUCCACCUCACCAUUGCCGA